rnacentral:rRNA from 1 species
GAUGAACGCUGGCGGCGUGCUUAACACAUGCAAGUCGAACGAUGAAGCCCAGCUUGCUGGGUGGAUUAGUGGCGAACGGGUGAGUAACACGUGAGUAACCUGCCCUUAACUCUGGGAUAAGCCUGGGAAACUGGGUCUAAUACCGGAUAGGAGCGCCUACCGCAUGGUGGGUGUUGGAAAGAUUUAUCGGUUUUGGAUGGACUCGCGGCCUAUCAGCUUGUUGGUGAGGUAACGGCUCACCAAGGCGACGACGGGUAGCCGGCCUGAGAGGGUGACCGGCCACACUGGGACUGAGACACGGCCCAGACUCCUACGGGAGGCAGCAGUGGGGAAUAUUGCACAAUGGGCGAAAGCCUGAUGCAGCGACGCCGCGUGAGGGAUGACGGCCUUCGGGUUGUAAACCUCUUUCAGUAGGGAAGAAGCGAAAGUGACGGUACCUGCAGAAGAAGCACCGGCUAACUACGUG